CCUACGGGAGGCAGCAGUAGGGAAUAUUGCUCAAUGGGGGAAACCCUGAAGCAGCAACGCCGCGUGGAGGAUGAAGGUUUUCGGAUUGUAAACUCCUUUUGUUAGAGAAGAUAAUGACGGUAUCUAACGAAUAAGCACCGGCUAACUCCGUGCCAGCAGCCGCGGUAAUACGGAGGGUGCAAGCGUUACUCGGAAUCACUGGGCGUAAAGAGCGCGUAGGCGGGAUAGCAAGUCAGAUGUGAAAUCCUAUGGCUUAACCAUAGAACUGAAUUUGAAACUGUUAUUCUAGAGUAUGGGAGAGGUAGGUGGAAUUCUUGGUGUAGGGGUAAAAUGCGUAGAGAUCAAGAGGAAUACUCAUUGCGAAGGCGACCUGCUAGAACAUAACUGACGCUGAUGCGCGAAGGCGUGGGGAGCAAACAGGAUUAGAUACCCCUGUAGUC
rnacentral:rRNA from 1 species